rnacentral:misc_RNA from 1 species
GAUGAAGAACGUAGCGAAAUGCGAUAAGUAAUGUGAAUUGCAGAAUUCAGUGAAUCAUCGAAUCUUUGAACGCACAUUGCGCCCGUCAGUAUUCUGGCGGGCAUGCCUGUUCGAGCGUCAUUACGCCCCUCAAGUCCCCUGUGGACUUGGUGUUGGGGAUCGGCGAGGCUGGUUUUCCAGCACAGCCGUCCCUUAAAUUAAUUGGCGGUCUCGCCGUGGCCCUCCUCUGCGCAGUAGUAAAACACUCGCAACAGGAGCCCGGCGCGGUCCACUGCCGUAAAACCCCCCAACUUUUUAUAGUUGACCUCGAAUCAGGUAGGACUACCCGCUGAACUUAAGCAUAUCAAUAACGGAGGA